GUGCUCACUUCGGCAGCACAUAUGCUAAAAUUGGAAUGAUACAGAGUAGUUUAGCAUGGCACCUGUUUAA
ensembl:snRNA U6 U6 spliceosomal RNA